CCCACCGCCAAGUAUCACUCUGGAACAGCACGAUAGUAUAGUGUAGGGAACACUUGGCCAAGAGGAGAGUCAGAAGACCUGAGCUAAGUCUGGGCUUGGACAGGUCACUUAGCUUCUCUGGACCUCAGUGGCUGAGCUCCAAGCUCAGUUUCUUCAGUUAGGACCCCAUGAGAACAAAUGUCCAUGUCUGAGUCCUGAUAUCCCAUGACAAAAUCAGAGAGUAGAAAUAAUAGGAGUUCCCACAUUUCUGAUUUCUACUAGGUUCAGACCUGUAAUCUAGGCCUCUGGCUUUUCUUGCUCACAGAAAAUAUUCUAAGGGGGCUCAUUCAAGACAGACUAACUCAACAUGAAGCCCUGCCCUUCAGAGUCUCCCCAUCUUCAACCAUUAGAAAGCAGGGAUUCUCCAUGAGCAAAAGCUUCCUGAGGACGUACAAGGCAGUUAUCUAAGAAGGUAUGUAGAGACAUCACCCCGAGGGUCAGUCCAUUUACAGCAGGAAAGAACUGAGCACGGCUGAGACACCCAGCAUCUUUCACCCAUGCAGGUCAGACAAAUGAUUCUCUCGCACAGACCGACCAUAUGGAUUGAUUUAGCAGCAUUUCACCUGCUGCCCAGAGACAUGGCUUGAGUCAUCCCAUAUAAAUUACUGAACUCUCCACCACAAAAAUGAAAAAAAAAAUGUUUUCUUGCACAGCAGUAGCAAUUAAUGUGCAACGUGUUUAUGGAGUUUAAUAAUAUACGGCCCGGCACUCGUCUCUGUAUGCAAUAAAUACCAUUAUCUUGAGAGAGACUGAGUUGGUGUCAUCAGCAUACAAGACGUGGAUGAUGGAUUCAUCAAUAACUGAGCCUGGCCUUAUUACAGCAAACAAAUUAGACACCGUGGAAUCUAUUGCCAUAUAGACAGGACUUCCUUCUCUUCAAAUAGAUGUCAUAAUUAAUAGUGGUGACCUUUUGGCAACAGCUUGCAAUUAACGGGCUCUCUCUUCCUUUAGUGCCUGCACACAUAAGUGGUUGUUCAAGGCUUGGCCCAGCCCAGUGGAGUGGAGCAAACUCUAGACAUCUUCCCAGGAAAGUGGUGGCCAGUAAGGUCAAUCACCUCUUCAUCUUUCUCAGAUUUCAUGCCAGCAUAAGGUAGAAAGGAAAGCAGUGAGUCACCCAGAAGAAGUUCCUAAGCCACUUCUCUCUGCCAGGCACAGCUCCAGGCACUGAGGAUAGAGCAACAAAUCAUAUAGAAGGACUCCCCCACCCCUCCUCACCCCUGUGAGUAGAGAAUGACAUCAGACAUGUAAACAAAUAAAUGCUUCUAAAAUUCUGAUAUGUAGCAUGCUGAAGAUAUAGAGCGCUCUCGAAUCUCCGUAUUUUUAAAUGGCAACAGGGAUUUUCACAAGAGGAGAUAUUUUAUGUACUCGGCAUCCACGUGAUUCAAUAAUCACCAACAUAAGCAAGAUUCUGCUGCUCCUAGAUUUCCUCUUCCUCUGAAUUUUAAGAAUAACAUGGCAGUUCUGAAGAGGAAUGGGUACUGCCUGCAAUUUGAUCAUUUUAAAAGACUUUAGUCUUUUAGAAUAAUUAUUGUGGAGUUCCACAAUAGCCCAGGUUAACCAAACCAAUACCAAAAAGAAAUGGGUAUUAUCUUAUAUUUUAAAAAUACUAGUUUUAGUGUGGGGAAAAAAAAAUGUGCCAGGACACAUCAAAAUCACAGGUUGAACCAUCCAUGGAACAUACAUUCUACGCAUUUUGUUCCCUUACAAUUUUUUACCUCUAUAGUUCAGUAUAGAUGAUGUCUAUACAGACAAGUUGAAGUUCAUAUUUAAUGCAAUUGUCCAUGAAAAAAUAGUUGAGGCAAAAGUCCUUCUCACAUGAAUUCUCUGGAAUCCUCCUUCAGUUUUUCACUCUAAUUUUAGACACAGCCUUGCCCUAUUUGUUCAUGAAGCAAGAAUAUUCUAACCAAGCCCUGUGGUUCUCAGUCCCUUCAUGGUAGGAAACUGGGACAGUUGGGUUGGUUACGAAAUGUGUUUCUGUCAUAGGCAAUUAAUCUGCACUGAUUUACUCUUUUCUCUCUCUCUCAUAACGAUGCCACUCUGUGAAUCCCAAUGUCCUUCUUGAGUCACAGGAGAGGAGAGCGAUGCACUGGCAAUGGCUAAUAACCCUGGGCACGUGCGUGACAUUCAUGGGGAUGUGAGCUGCAAGUCACCUUCAUCUCGAAUGUAUGUUACAGCCAGAAAAAAAGUGGUGAACAACUGCACUCAGUAAAUACUAAUUCGAAGGAAUAAAUGAUGACACCCAUGGUACUCAGGUCAUUUUACUUUCUCCCUCUACUUUGCGGAGUGAAUGGUUCCACAG